ensembl:lncRNA
AUGGUGUUUUACUGUAGACAUGGUGUUCUUUACUGUAGACAUGGUGUUCUUUACUGUAGGCAUGAUGUUCUUUACUGUAGGCAUGGUGUUCUUUACUGUAGGCAUUGUGUUCUUUACUGUAGGCAUGGUGUUCUUUACUGUAGGCAUGGUGUUCUUUACUGUAGACAUGGUGUUCUUUACUGUAGACGUGGUGUUCUUUUUACUGUAAACAUGGUGUUCUUUACUGUAGGCAUGGUGUUCUUUACUGUAGACAUGGUGUUUUAUUGUAGGCAUGGUGUUUUUUACUGUAGACAUGGUGUUCUUUACUGUAAACGUGGUGUUCUUUGGGUGGAAAGAUGUAUUGGGUUUUCUCUAGACCUAUCAUUUUGCAUUCAGACCAAAAAGUAAAAUUUGUCUCACUUGACCACAGCAUCUUUUUCCACUUUCCCUCAGAAUCUAUGAUGUGCUUUUUGGCAAAGCUCAAACGAGACUUGAUGUGUUUUUUCUUCUUCUUGCCACCCUCCCAUAGAGGCCAGAUUUGUAAAGUGAUUGUGAUAGUGGGCACAUGCACACAUUGACCAGUCUUUGCCAUAAAGGCCUGAAACUCCCUCAAAGUCAGCAAUGGCUUCUUGGUAGCCUCUCUGAUCAGUCUCCUCCUUGCCCGGUUAUCCAGUUUGGAGGGAUGGCCUGAUCUAUGCGGGUCUGGGUGGCUCAUUCAUCCCCCUCUCCCCUGUAACUAUUCCCCAGGUCGUUGCUGUAAAUGAAUGUUCUCAGUCAACUUACCUGGUAAACUAACAGUUAAAUAAAAAUGGUCUUAACUGUGCUCCAAGGGACAAAGCCUUUGAAAUCUUUUUAUAUCCAUCCCGACUUUUCACAACUUUAUCUCGUAGAUCCUUUGACAGUAUCUUUCCUACCGUAGUGGACUCUUUGCUUUGAAUUGCACUACUGAGCAGUGGAGCCCUCUAUGAAAAACUGCUUUUAUUCUGAAAUAAUCAAAGUCCUAAAAAUGGAUCACAGAUGGAAGACAAUUAGCUUGACUUGUGAUCUGGAAGGUGGUUGGUUAUACCUCAGCAAGUUUGCAAUUCUAAGGGGUGGGGGGGUUCACUUAUCCAAAUAGGGUAUUUUACUGUUUUACUUUGAGUUUAGAAGAGAAAGAUUCACUUGGAUGUUGUGGGUUAUGGUGUGUAAAUAAAGCUGGGAAAAGUCUAAAUGUAUGUGUUUACAUUUCAGGCUGUAAGGCAACAAAAGGUGAACAUUUUGAAAGGGGGUGGUGACUUUCUAUACCCACUGUAGGCUUCAGUUCAGACUAAUCACAAUCUUACAGUUUAAUCAAGUCACAAAACUAUCAUGCCGAAGUUGUGUACCUCUCAAUAAACCAGUGACUGUCAAAUAAACUGAUCACAACAUAACAAUAAGCAGAUGUUUAAUCGCUGAGCCGUCAUUUCUAUAGAAAAAUAAAACMGUGCUUAAAUAAGGUUUACAGUUGGUGUUAAUCUCUUGGAAUCUCUCAAAUUCAAAAUAAUUAUCAUUUGAUUCCAGUUCACAGAUUAUUAAGCAUAUGAUUUAGUCAAUGGUAUGGCAAUGACUCAUUGUUACCAUAACAUAUGAAAUACCUGUCAGUAGGCAUUAUGCAAUGUUGCCCAAUCAACAACAAAAAAUGUUCAUGUGGACAGACCAUCCAUACAACAAGCCAUUAAUACACAAGAUUUAGUGGAAACAAAUCAUUCAAACAGUAGAUGGGAAAUGUUUAACAAUGCAUAUGAAACGUCUAGUAUGUCACAUUUAUUUAUUCCCACUGUGGGAAUAAAUACAAACGAUAUCACUAGGACAUUCCCACCAUUCAAUGGCUUUUGAUGUUAUCGUCUUACACACUCAACUUUCUAGUAGUCACAGUCCACAGCCCCUUAUUCCAAUCUCCUGAUUGUACCUGUUCGUGAGGGUGUUUGCUUUCCGGGUAAGCUUAGACAGAACCGUGUGUAGUCCUGUCAAAUAAUAAUGAAAUUGUUUCUCCAAAUCAUCAUCAUCGGAUUCUAUUCUGGAUAUGUCCAACGCGGUCACCCCCAUUUUUUCUUUCCGCCUGUCGUCGGCUUGUAGGACCCCCCAUUCGAUGUCAUUCCUGAUCGAUUUUAAUAGCACAUAGUAAUUGUACAUGUCCCCGUCCUGGAAAUAGGUGGUUGACCCAUUGCUGGCGGUCCUAAUCGGUGAUAUCGUUUUCACCUCUUCUUCCUCGUCUAGAGGCACGUCUCUUAGRAGACUAGGAACCAUCACCGUCUMAUCCAUGUUAUURACYGCACCAAUAAAUCGGUUCAUUGCAUUGAACAAUGAAUUCUUUUGAUUGUACGAAUCCGAAAUMUGCAUCAUUUUUGCGAGAAACCUGACCGCGUGCAGACAAUCUAGUUACCUCGAGUCACCGAUGAUAAUGCAGUUUUACUCUGUCAGUCUGAAAUCAACCUUAACAAGCUAACUAGCUAAUGCUCUUUAUCGGAUUACAAUUACAAAUUUAGCUGCUGCAAAAGCUUACUCAGCCCGAGGAAACGUCCAGACUUUUCAAACGUUUUGCCUGCRUUGUGAGACUGUACUACCUAACGUUACUCACUAAUUGACUAACAAGUGUAUUUUUUCUAAGGGCGUUCCCGGAUCUGUCUCAGUCGAAUGUUUUCAGGCCAAAGUAACAGGAUGAACGACCUGAAAUAAGAGACACCAUACGGUUAGUUACUUCAAGUAACGUUAUUUCAGUAUCAUUAGUUGCAUAGUAGGCCUACCACAAAUUAAGAAAUCCUUACACUGGACAAUUGAUGCUUCCGUUCUCAACUCACCGAAUUAACAGCUAACAUUAGCUAGCCAUAUGUGGAGAACAAAUUUAGCUCAAGCAGUACAAACUCACCGUGAUGUUAUUGUCCCUGGUAUUUUUCCGAAUAACCACUUCACUCGUUAAACUUCUGUGGAAGGCAUAAAGUCUUAAUUUGACAGCUUGUUGUGAGCGAAGCGACCGAUAGCAGCUUGCUAGCUUAACAAAUCCUCAACACCAGCAGGAGGACGGUGAGAUGCAUAGUGGCGUACUUGCGUCAGCCCACAUGCGGUAACUCCGUUUUCAGCCAAUCAGAUUUUAGCCGGUCUAUCACACACCCUGCUGAUUUUCUGCCAAGUCAACUCACGGUUAGAACAUGUUUACUUCCUUCAACAAAAACACCUAUCUUUACCWUCCUUCCAUACUUCCUCUUUUGGAGAGAUUAUGAAGAAAAUAACAUAAUGUCACUUCAAUAAUGAUGACACAAAUGUGUACUGUGACAAACUUGCUUUCACAGUUUUAGUAAAACCAGGGCUCGUGUACGUUUGAAUUUGAGGGUCUCAAAUGACAUCCUUUCAAAGAAAUACGGAGGCGAGGAAGGAAUCAUAAUUAUGUCAUUUGAGUUGUGGAAUAGAGCAGGCUCAUCUGAGGAAACUGGCGACGUGUUGAAACAGGAGUUUAAUUCAGGCUGGGGUUGCGUCAUUCCUGCCCACAAAAACACUUUAAGUAGUAGGUGUACUAGUGACAAUUUUUAACAAUGUAUACACUAUCAACAAAGUAGUUCGUUUUUUAU